ACCACUCCAUUUUGUCAACCUUACUACACAUAGGUAUUUCACAACAAAAAGGUUUGUAAUAGGUUCGGAUGAAUCUAGGAGUAUAGUAGAUCUAACAACAAAGAGCAUAUAUGCAUGUUACUUACAGAAUUUUUCAGGCGACUUGACCAUCUCCGUGACGUGGUUGAACAGAUCGGUGUGGAUGAUGGUCACGUCGGGGUGCUUUGCCCGGAGCUUCUCGAUGGCCUCCCGCAGCAGCGAGUUGUGGAGCAUCACAAUCUCGUUGGGCUCCUUGAGGCAGCCGGUGGUGGCAUCGUAUUCCGACGCGUCGGCGUCGGCG
rnacentral:lncRNA from 1 species